rnacentral:lncRNA from 1 species
UUUUAGUUUCAAAUAUCUUUUUGGCUAUCUAUUUUAGUGUUUUGAUUUUGUUUUUUUGACAAAUUGAUUUUAUUUGAUUUAUGAGUGUAGUAUUUGAUCCGAGGUACAAUGGGUUGCACGAUUUUAAAUUACCUUUUUUAUUAAUUGAAGAGUUAGAUAAAAUAGCAAGAUAAAUGUAAAAUAUCAAUGAAUUAUAAUAAAAUCUAUGAAUUUAUAUAUAUUUUUUUAAGCUAUAACCUCAUGAAAUAAGCUAUACAAGCUCAUGGUUUCUAUAAUAUAUGCAAGGUCUCGAUUCGAACUAUGGUCACCACAAUAAAAACUAUAAGCUCAUGAUAGUGAAAUAAGUUAUAAGUUCAUGAUAAAAUAAUGUUAUCAAACAUGACUAUUUUGGCCAGACAAACUUAUGCUAUAAGCUAUAAACUCAUUUCUUGAACUUACCAAACAUAUUUAAUGUAAAGGUUGAUUUCUUAAUUUUAUUAUGUGUUUUCAAAAAAUUGGGGUUUAGUUCUCAAACAUGUUACUCCCUCAUUCCCGAAAUAUAUAACGUAUUUUAUCAUUUCACACAGUUUAAGAAAAUUGUAAUAAUAAGAGAAAGAAAAAUGAUAUUUUGACUAAUUU